GUUGUCCCGAGAACUAGAGUAAUGAUUGAUAGAGACGGUUGGGGGCAUCCGUAUUCUCAAGCGAGAGGUGAAAUUCUUGGACCUUGGGAAGACGAACAGCUGCGAAAGCGUUUGCCUAGGACGUUCUCUUUAAUCAAGAACGAAAGUUGGGGGAUCGAAGACGAUCAGAUACCGUCGUAGUCUCAACUAUAAACUAUGCCAGCUGGGGAUCGGUGGUACUUCGUCACGAGUCCAUCGGCACCUUACGAGAAAUCAAAGCAUUUGGGUUCCGGGGGGAGUAUGGUCGCAAGGCUGAAACUUAAAGGAAUUGACGGAAGGGCACCACCAGGAGUGGAGCCUGUGGCUUAAUUUGACUCAACACGGGAAAACUUACCAGGUCCGGACAUAGUAAGGAUUGACAGAUUGAUAGCUCUUUCUUGAUUCUAUGGGUGGUGGUGCAUG
rnacentral:rRNA from 1 species